rnacentral:rRNA from 1 species
GAUGAGCGCUGACAGAAUGCUUAACACAUGCAAGUCUUUGGCGAAGCUGUGCUUGCACCGCCUAGCCAAGGCGGACGGGUGAGUAACGCGUAAGGAACUUGCCCUGCAGUCAGGGAUAACAGACGGAAACGACUGAUAAGACCUGGUAAAGUCAGGCGGACUCAUGUCCAGCCUGAUGAAAAGAGAUGCUGCAGGAGAGCCUUGCGUCCUAUUAGCUUGUUGGUGGGGUAACGGCCCACCAAGGCGAUGAUAGGUAGCCGGCCUGAGAGGGUGGACGGCCACAAGGGGACUGAGAUACGGCCCUUACUCCUACGGGAGGCAGCAGUGGGGAAUAUUGGACAAUGGGGGCAACCCUGAUCCAGCAAUUCUGUGUGCACGAUGAAGGUUUUCGGAUUGUAAAGUGCUUUCAGCAGGGAAGAAAAAAAUGACGGUACCUGCAGAAGAAGCGACGGCUAAAUACGUG